rnacentral:lncRNA from 1 species
UUAAAUACGAUUGGUUUCAAAUCGAGUGUGACUUGACAAUAAGUCACAAUGAAAUCUAAAAAUAUUUACAUCAGAAGAGAAAACAAACUUUUAAUAAAACAUCGGAGCAAAUACAUACAAGCAUACUACAUACUAUCCAAGUGUAUAUGCUCGUAUGGGCUUCAAAUGCAUAUGUAACCCGAAAAUUGUUCUAGAGAUGAAUCAACGGCAAAUAAUAUAAUAUAAAUAGAAAAAACAGUGGAUAUUGAGUGACCAGACAUUAAUAAUCUUCGUUUCUCAUUGGAACUAUACUUAAAAAAGAUUGACUAUUUAGAGAAGCAAAAAAUGAAAAAAGAAAUUGAUUCUUACAGUUGUAAAUUCAAUUUCUGAUUAUACCGCAUUCUCAAAGUCAUCUGACAUGCCCAUGGACACCUGCACAGCAUCCGAU